UGAACGCGAAGAACCUUACCAAGGCUUGACAUACACCGGAAACUACCAGAGAUGGUUGCCCCGCAAGGUCGGUGUACAGGUGGUGCAUGGUUGUCGUCAGCUCGUGUCGUGAGAUGUUGGGUUAAGUCCCGCAACGAGCGCAACCCUCGUCCUAUGUUGCCAGCGGGUCAUGCCGGGGACUCAUAGGAGACUGCCGGGGUCAACUCGGAGGAAGGUGGGGAUGACGUCAAAUCAUCAUGCCCCUUAUGUCUUGGGCUUCACGCAUGCUACAAUGGCCGGUACAAAGGGCUGCGAUACCGCGAGGUGGAGCGAAUCCCAAAAAGCCGGUCUCAGUUCGGAUUGGGUGUCUGCAACUCGACCCCAUGAAGUCGGAGUCGCAAGUAAUCGCAGAUCAGCAACGCUGCGGUGAAUACGUUCCCGGGUCUUGUACACACGCA
rnacentral:rRNA from 1 species